CCUUUACUAUAGCUUCGCCUUGGCGUUAGCGACCGUAUGUGUAGGAUAGGUGGGAGGCUAUGAAACCGGGGCGCCAGCUCUGGUGGAGCCAUCCUUGAAAUACCACCCUUACUGUCGUUGACGUCUAACCGAGGGCCGUUAUCCGGUCCCGGGACAUGGCGUCGGUGGGUAGUUUGACUGGGGCGGUCGCCUCCUAAAGUGUAACGGAGGCGCGCGAUGGUGGGCUCAGACCGGUCGGAAAUCGGUCGUCGAGUGCAAUGGCAUAAGCCCGCCUGACUGCGAGACUGGACAAGUCGAGCAGAGACGAAAGUCGGCCAUAGUGAUCCGGUGGUCCCGCGUGGAAGGGCCAUCGCUCAACGGAUAAAAGGUA
rnacentral:rRNA from 1 species